rnacentral:tRNA from 1 species
GUUUGAUUAGCUCAGUUGGUAGAGCGAUCGACUCAUAAUCGAAAGGUCACAGGUUCGAUUCCUGUAUCAAACUCCA